rnacentral:ribozyme from 1 species
UCAAAUGGCAGGUGGCGGCGAUCCGUACAAGCAACAACAACAACCAACAACACAAUCGCCCUACCACCACCAUCAUCACCACCACCACCACAGCAGUAGUAGUAGCAGCAGCAAGCCUCCGACCACAUCUCAUGCCGCAACAACAACAACACCCAACAAGGAAAC